UGCUUGGGAAUUUGCCUUAGAGUGGGGGACAACAGUUGGAAACGACUGCUAAUACCGCAUGAUGUCUACGGACCAAAGGGGGCUUCGGCUCUCGCUCUUUGAGAAGCCCAAGUGGGAUUAGCUAGUUGGUGAGGUAAAGGCUCACCAAGGCGACGAUCCCUAGCUGGUCUGAGAGGAUGAUCAGCCACACUGGAACUGAGACACGGUCCAGACUCCUACGGGAGGCAGCAGUGGGGAAUAUUGCACAAUGGGUGCAAGCCUGAUGCAGCCAUGCCGCGUGUGUGAAGAAGGCCUUAGGGU
rnacentral:rRNA from 1 species